UUGUCAUAUGUUUGUCUCAAAGAUUAAGCCAUGCAAGUAUGCUAAACCUUGUUAACAAGAAGGCUGCGAACGGCUCAUUAAAACAGUCGUGAUCUACCGCGUGAAGUUGGAAUUUUCGGGAUACCUACGGGAAACUGUGGUCAAGCCCCUAGGCUCAACGUUUGAGUUGAGAAGCUUAUACAGUUUUGAACACUAUAGCCAUAGAAGGAACAUGUCACCAUAAGGGACACGCGAUGAACGUCUGACCCAUCAUAAUAGUUGGGAGGGUAGUGUCCUCUCAAGUUUACGACGGGUAACGGGGAAUUAGGGUUCGAUUCCGGAGAGGGAGCUUGAGAAACGGCUACCACUUCCAAGGAAGGCAGCAGGCGCGCAAAUUACCCAAUGGACUUGUGGUCCGAGGUAGUGACGAGAAAUAUCGGUCUGUCGACCUUAGUCGAUAGUACUGGAAUGAGCUUGGUCUAAAUCCCCAAGCGAGGAACUAUUGGAGGGCAAGUCUGGUGCCAGCAGCCGCGGUAACUCCAGCUCCAAUAACAUAUACAAGUUGUGUUGCAGUUAAAACGCUCGUAGUCGACCCUUGAUAAAAAUCUUGGAUUCUGUGAAGAAAUCUGCUUGUUGAAGCAAGUUUUCAAAGUCAAAAGCAUGGAACAUUCCAACCUUCAGUGCAUCGUUCUUACUGGUUUGUCGGGUAGAACUUGCGUAGGUAUGAAUUUGGUGA
rnacentral:rRNA from 1 species